CGUUAAUUUUUGUUCUGUUUUUCUUACGUUUUUUGCCGGGUUUACCCCAUUAUUAAGAAAUCUACAGAGAAAAUCGAAAAAUGACCUCCGCCAUGUGCCAACUGAAUGUUCAUUUCAGAAAAUAUGCUACACUUGAAGACGGCAGCCAGAUUUCUGGUGGAAAACAACAAAUCGGUGUUGACGGAUCCGUUAUUUUUCUCUUGCGAUAUUCGAAUAUAAAACGUAGAACAAGGAAAACACUCGAAAACGAAAACAGCUUCAACCACAGUAUAAAGAAUAAUACGCAGUAGAGAAACUUCGCUGUAUAUUUUACAUUAAUAAUAUUGUUUUCACCGCAACCGGUGAGCUGCACUAAAUCCGGCUGACCACGCCCAUAAAACUGCGCUUGUUUACAACGGAUCGGUCAAAACUGUUACUGAUAACAAUACAACUACGGUUAUCCUAUU